CUCUUGUGUGACCAUUCGCUCCAC
rnacentral:siRNA from 1 species